CACCAGUGGUUCUGCCCCUGGGAGCUGGCCAGAGCCCCUCAGGAGGCUGUCUGCCCCUGUGGGCCCUUGGAUAUGCCAGGCUUCUGCUCAAGGCUGUGCCAGCCAUGGGCCUGUCCUUUGUACUCCUCUGAGCAGAGAGCAUGAGGAGAUGUGGUCCAAGAGAAGGAUCCCAGGAGCUGGCUACCAGUGCAACAACACAACACUUUUCCACUGCAACUGCUCCUACUUACCUGGCAACUUGAAGCAAAUAGAAAUGCUAAAAGAGAGGACAAUGACCUGAGGAGUGGGGGGUCUCCCCAUCAGUCACACAAGGGGAAGAAAGCUCUUCUGGAGGCUGCAAAAGAAAACACCAUGGAAAAAGACUGUAGAAGAAUUAAACUCUCACAGGGGUUUCCAGGCUCUGCCCUUUCUUCCCUUCUGGACAUUCAUCCUCCUGAGUCACUGCAGGCUCAAGAGGAAAUUGCAUAGCUCUUGCCUAAGAUGGGGGACUGGAGAAGCAUGUGGAGGUUGGUCAUUGCAAGAAUGCCAAGAGACCAUGAUAAUGGCACCAGGAUUUUCCUUGAAACCAACAAAAGGAGACAAGAAAUGGCCAACACCCACAAAAAGAUAAUAUCCCUUCAAUGAUGUAAAUAAUAGAUUUACUUUUUAAAAUAUUUGCUGCUGGAAUACACCUUUACAAAGUGGGUGCCUGCUUAACAAUGUCUCCCUGCCCCUGCUCUGCAUGUUUCACUGCUUCAUUUAUGAAGAAUUGACAUUUAUGACAUAAAUAUUUUAAUUUGGGUUGUUUUUAUGUCUAAAUAUGCACAUUUUCAAAAGAACUCUUUCCAUUAAAAUAUAUAAAGCAAAUAAAUGCAAUAUAUUUUGGGCAUUAGA